CCAGGUACUUGGUCCGCUAAGCACUAUGCGUACUAUGCGUAUAGGGAGCGGCGGGCCUGCCUAAUGGGCUGAUCUCCUGACAUUAACAUUGUUAUCAACAUUGUUAUCUUAACACCCAAUUAGUACAUUGUAAUACACUUCACUGACUUGUUUUGUUUCUUCUUGUCUUUCAGAAAAUGUCUUUUGCUCCCCUUUUCCGGUUCGAACCCUCUUCCUCCGAGCUCACCCUUCGCCCCUCUGAUGCCGCUGACGCAGUGGCAAGCAAACGCCAGGCCUCUACCACUGGGUCUCAGGUGAAGAGGGGUGAUGUGGUUCGAGCCGAGGCGAGGGCCAGAGCCCUGCAGAAGGGUGGCAUGUCGGGCGAGUUUGUGCUGGCGGAGAGCGAGGUGCAGUUUGGCCUGUACCGCGGCCAAACUUUCCAGUGGCUGCUGGGAAAUGCGGUGGGGUACGCCGUCACCAUCUUGGUGUCCCACCAGAUGGAGAGAGAGGGAGGAGACACCAGCAAGUCGCCCCUCAUGGAGAACAAGGACGCCCUCGCCUCCUACGCCGGGCUGUUCCCACCCAUGGUGACGGCCGUCGCCAGGCGUAGGUUGUGCGAGGGCUCCGCGUCUUCCAGGGGGCUGGACGACGCGCUGGUGGGGUUCGGGGUGCAUUCACACCGGACCUACAAGUCCCUGUAUGGCGCGCGGGACCAAGAGAGUCGAACCUAUGUGGCUUGGGUCAGGACGCAGAAGGUGGGAGCUACUGCGUCAAGGAUGGGAACCCUGAAGCAGUAUGUGCUGGCCCGGGACGCUGAGCCCACAGCAGCACCGGAGCCAGGACAUGUCCUCCCACGGCCAGGAGUCUCCUACUCUGACCCGACCGACGCCGAACUGCUCGCCGCUGCCGACGAGGUCGACCCUCCCAGCAUGUCCAGGGACGCCCCGCCAGCCGCGGCCCCGCUGGAAGGACCAGCACCAGGUCCAGGACCAGGACCGAUGGCCACGAGGCCUGCCUCCGGCAAAGAGGUUUGUAUAAUGUGUGUGUGUGUGUGUGUGUGUGUAUAUGAUGUGUGUGUUUAUGUGUGCCUGUCUGCUGAACAUUCACACCCGCUAACUGUGUGUGUCUGCUGCGUGUGUGUUCCAGCUGCUUCCCCUCAGCUGGAGGAAGACGCUGCCUGUGGAGCAGCAGGAGUGGGUGGGCCGGGCGCUGUUCCGCAGGGACCCCAGCAGCGGGAAGGCUGUGCUCACCACACCGCCCCGACUGUGGUGGUACCCGCCAGGCGCCCGGCUCCUCUACACUCAGCCCCCCGCCACUGCCCACGCCUUCUUCCAGCGCCCCUUCUUCCUCUGGCUUCCGUAUCGGAUGUGGGCGUACCACCUCAAGUGCCCCGCCGAUGGGGGUAAGCUGAUGGGCGCUGGCCUAUACAAGACCGUGCGGAGGGUCUUGGACAGGA
rnacentral:lncRNA from 1 species